rnacentral:rRNA from 1 species
UACGUAGGGUGCAAGCGUUGUCCGGAAUUAUUGGGCGUAAAGAGCUCGUAGGCGGUUUGUCGCGUCUGCUGUGAAAUCCCGAGGCUCAACCUCGGGUCUGCAGUGGGUACGGGCAGACUAGAGUGUGGUAGGGGAGAUUGGAAUUCCUGGUGUAGCGGUGGAAUGCGCAGAUAUCAGGAGGAACACCAAUGGCGAAGGCAGCUCGCUGGGACGGUACUGACGCUGAGACGCGAAAGCGUGGGGAGCAAACAGG